CUAAAGGCUUUUCUCAAGGCCACUGCUUUCAUAAAACAAACAAAGG
rfam:Canis lupus familiaris chromosome 15, whole genome shotgun sequence.